rnacentral:rRNA from 1 species
CCUACGGGCGGCUGCAGUGGGGAAUAUUGGACAAUGGGGGCAACCCUGAUCCAGCCAUGCCGCGUGUGUGAAGAAGGCCCUCGGGUUGUAAAGCACUUUCAGUGAGGAAGAACGCCUGGUGGUUAAUACCCAUCAGGAAAGACAUCACUCACAGAAGAAGCACCGGCUAACUCCGUGCCAGCAGCCGCGGUAAUACGGAGGGUGCGAGCGUUAAUCGGAAUUACUGGGCGUAAAGCGCGCGUAGGUGGCUUGAUAAGCCGGUUGUGAAAGCCCCGGGCUCAACCUGGGAACGGCAUCCGGAACUGUCAAGCUUGAGUGCAGGAGAGGAAGGUAGAAUUCCCGGUGUAGCGGUGAAAUGCGUAGAGAUCGGGAGGAAUACCAGUGGCGAAGGCGGCCUUCUGGACUGACACUGACACUGAGGUGCGAAAGCGUGGGUAGCAAACAGGAUUAGAUACCCCAGUAGUC